rnacentral:rRNA from 1 species
UUAAGCGAACAAGCGUACACGGUGGAUGCCCUGGCAGUCAGAGGCGAUGAAGGACGUGCUAAUCUGCGAAAAGCGCCGGUAAGGUGAUAUGAACCGUUAUAACCGGCGAUGUCCGAAUGGGGAAACCCGGUGCACUUCGGUGCAUCAUCGUUAGCUGAAUACAUAGGCUAACGAGGCGAACCGGGGGAACUGAAACAUCUAAGUACCCCGAGGAAAAGAAAUCAACCGAGAUUCCCCCAGUAGCGGCGAGCGAACGGGGAACAGCCCAGAGCCUGAAUCAGCUUGUGUGUCAGUGGAACGGUCUGGAAAGGCCGGCGAUACAGGGUGACAGCCCCGUACACGAAGGCACACAGGCUGUGAGCUCGAUGAGUAGGGCGGGACACGUGAUAUCCUGUCUGAAGAUGGGGGGACCAUCCUCCAAGGCUAAAUACUCCUGACUGACCGAUAGUGAACCAGUACCGUGAGGGAAAGGCGAAAAGAACCCCGGCGAGGGGAGUGAAACAGAACCUGAAACCGUGUACGUACAAGCAGUGGGAGCCUUCGUAAGAGGGUGACUGCGUACCUUUUGUAUAAUGGGUCAGCGACUUAUAUUCUGUAGCAAGGUUAACCGUAUAGGGGAGCCGAAGGGAAACCGAGUCUUAAUUGGGCGUUAAGUUGCAGGGUAUAGACCCGAAACCCGGUGAUCUAGCCAUGGGCAGGUUGAAGGUUGGGUAACACUAACUGGAGGACCGAACCGACUAAUGUUGAAAAAUUAGCGGAUGACCUGUGGCUGGGGGUGAAAGGCCAAUCAAACCGGGAGAUAGCUGGUUCUCCCCGAAAGCUAUUUAGGUAGCGCCUCGUGAACUCAUCUCCGGGGGUAGAGCACUGUUUCGGCUAGGGGGCCAUCCCGGCUUACCAACCCGAUGCAAACUGCGAAUACCGGAGAAUGUUAUCACGGGAGACACACGGCGGGUGCUAACGUCCGUCGUGAAGAGGGAAACAACCCAGACCGCCAGCUAAGGUCCCAAAGUCAUGGUUAAGUGGGAAACGAUGUGGGAAGGCCCAGACAGCCAGGAUGUUGGCUUAGAAGCAGCCAUCAUUUAAAGAAAGCGUAAUAGCUCACUGGUCGAGUCGGCCUGCGCGGAAGAUGUAACGGGGCUAAACCAUGCACCGAAGCUGCGGCAGCGACACUAUGUGUUGUUGGGUAGGGGAGCGUUCUGUAAGCCUGCGAAGGUGUGCUGUGAGGCAUGCUGGAGGUAUCAGAAGUGCGAAUGCUGACAUAAGUAACGAUAAAGCGGGUGAAAAGCCCGCUCGCCGGAAGACCAAGGGUUCCUGUCCAACGUUAAUCGGGGCAGGGUGAGUCGACCCCUAAGGCGAGGCCGAAAGGCGUAGUCGAUGGGAAACAGGUUAAUAUUCCUGUACUUGGUGUUACUGCGAAGGGGGGACGGAGAAGGCUAUGUCGGCCGGGCGACGGUUGUCCCGGUUUAAGCGUGUAGGCUGACUUUCCAGGCAAAUCCGGAAGGUUAAGGCUGAGGCGUGAUGACGAGGCACCACGGUGCUGAAGUGACAAAUGCCCUGCUUCCAGGAAAAGCCUCUAAGCAUCAGGUAACAUUAAAUCGUACCCCAAACCGACACAGGUGGUCAGGUAGAGAAUACCAAGGCGCUUGAGAGAACUCGGGUGAAGGAACUAGGCAAAAUGGUGCCGUAACUUCGGGAGAAGGCACGCUGACAUGUAGGUGAAGCCCCUGCGGGUGGAGCUGAAGUCAGUCGAAGAUACCAGCUGGCUGCAACUGUUUAUUAAAAACACAGCACUGUGCAAACACGAAAGUGGACGUAUACGGUGUGACGCCUGCCCGGUGCCGGAAGGUUAAUUGAUGGGGUUAUCGCAAGAGAAGCUCCUGAUCGAAGCCCCGGUAAACGGCGGCCGUAACUAUAACGGUCCUAAGGUAGCGAAAUUCCUUGUCGGGUAAGUUCCGACCUGCACGAAUGGCGUAAUGAUGGCCAGGCUGUCUCCACCCGAGACUCAGUGAAAUUGAACUCGCUGUGAAGAUGCAGUGUACCCGCGGCAAGACGGAAAGACCCCGUGAACCUUUACUACAGCUUGACACUGAACAUUGAGCCUUGAUGUGUAGGAUAGGUGGGAGGCUUUGAAGCGUGGACGCCAGUCUGCGUGGAGCCAACCUUGAAAUACCACCCUUUAAUGUUUGAUGUUCUAACCUGGCGCCGUGAUCCGGCGUGGGGACAGUGUCUGGUGGGUAGUUUGACUGGGGCGGUCUCCUCCCAAAGUGUAACGGAGGAGCACGAAGGUCAGCUAAUCCUGGUCGGACAUCAGGAGGUUAGUGCAAUGGCAUAAGCUGGCUUGACUGCGAGAGUGACGGCUCGAGCAGGUGCGAAAGCAGGUCAUAGUGAUCCGGUGGUUCUGUAUGGAAGGGCCAUCGCUCAACGGAUAAAAGGUACUCCGGGGAUAACAGGCUGAUACCGCCCAAGAGUUCAUAUCGACGGCGGUGUUUGGCACCUCGAUGUCGGCUCAUCACAUCCUGGGGCUGAAGUAGGUCCCAAGGGUAUGGCUGUUCGCCAUUUAAAGUGGUACGCGAGCUGGGUUUAGAACGUCGUGAGACAGUUCGGUCCCUAUCUGCCGUGGGCGCUGGAGAAUUGAGGGGGGCUGCUCCCAGUACGAGAGGACCGGAGUGGACGCAUCACUGGUGUUCGGGUUGUCAUGCCAAUGGCACUGCCCGGUAGCUAAAUGCGGAAGAGAUAAGUGCUGAAAGCAUCUAAGCACGAAACUUGCCCCGAGAUGAGUUCUCCCUGAGACUGUAAGUCUCCUGAAGGAACGUUGAAGACGACGACGUUGAUAGGCCGGGUGUGUAAGCGCAGCGAUGCGUUGAGCUAACCGGUACUAAUGAACCGUGAGGCUUAACCUU